rnacentral:rRNA from 1 species
GAUGAACGCUGGCGGCGUGCCUAAUACACGCAAGUCGAGCGAAUGGAUUAAGAGCUUGCUCUUAUGAAGUUAGCGGCGGACGGGUGAGUAACACGUGGGUAACCUGCCCAUAAGACUGGGAUAACUCCGGGAAACCGGGGCAAAUACCGGAUAACAUUUUGAACCGCAUGGUUCGAAAUUGAAAGGCGGCUUCGGCUGUCACUUAUGGAUGGACCCGCGUCGCAUUAGCUAGUUGGUGAGGUAACGGCUCACCAAGGCAACGAUGCGUAGCCGACCUGAGAGGGUGAUCGGCAACGCUGGGACUGAGACACGGCCCAGACUCCUACGGGAGGCAGCAGUAGGGAAUCUUCCGCAAUGGACGAAAGUCUGACGGAGCAACGCCGCGUGAGUGAUGAAGGCUUUCGGGUCGUAAAACUCUGUUGUUAGGGAAGAACAAGUGCUAGUUGAAUAAGCUGGCACCUUGACGGUACCUAACCAGAAAGCCACGGCUAACUACGUGCCAGCCGCCGCAGUAA